CUCACUUCUCUGCAAAUCCCAAAUGUAGGACUAGGACUACAGUGCAAGUCAUAGAGGGAGAAGACUGCUCACACUCUUCCCCUACUCCAGCAUGGUGUACCUCCCACAGGAGACAGUCCCCUACCAACUUCUCCCAAGGAUUUUGCAGGUCAUGGAUAGAGUCACCAGCAACAGGAACUCACUGAAAUAAUUUGCAGAUUCUUGUGAAACAGGAUAUGCUGCUAUGUUCUUCCCAUCUGCAAAAGGCAGCAAUACAGUCCCAAUGACAAUAGAAGAUGAUCUACAUGUGGCUUUUUAAGGGAUCCUGCCUGCCACAAGCAUCCAGUAUGGACUGCCCCCAUGUGUGACCUGGGUUCAGCCUGACUGCAGAGACAGAACCCAUGGGAAGGACAUUUGAAGCUCAGAACCCAUGUUGAGAAAAAGACCUGCUUAUCUAUGAUAUAAUGCAUUCCUUAAAAAAGCAAAAGGAUGCUUCUGAAUACCACCAGAGUUUAGACUUUUUUUUUUUGAACAUGUUGAAAUUUUCCAGAAAAUCCUGAGAUCCCACUUUUCUAUUGUGCAAUUUCCACACCCAAGUUGUUUACUGUGAAUGUUUUUCUUUGGUAACUCUUUAUGCCUGGAAGAUAUGAAAUUUUACAGACCUAAGAAAGCAACCAUUAUGUUUUCCAGCAUUAAAGACUGUUUUUUCCUACUUCCUCAUUGUGUUUUUAAGCUUAAA